rnacentral:rRNA from 1 species
AACGAACGCUGGCGGCAUGCCUAACACAUGCAAGUCGAACGAGACCUUCGGGUCUAGUGGCGCACGGGUGCGUAACGCGUGGGAAUCUGCCCUUGGGUUCGGAAUAACAGUUAGAAAUGACUGCUAAUACCGGAUAAUGUCUUCGGACCAAAGAUUUAUCGCCCAGGGAUGAGCCCGCGUAGGAUUAGCUAGUUGGUGAGGUAAAGGCUCACCAAGGCGACGAUCCUUAGCUGGUCUGAGAGGAUGAUCAGCCACACUGGGACUGAGACACGGCCCAGACUCCUACGGGAGGCAGCAGUGGGGAAUAUUGGACAAUGGCGAAAGCCUGAUCCAGCAAUGCCGCGUGAGUGAUGAAGGCCUUAGGGUUGUAAAGCUCUUUUUACCCGGGAUGAUAAUGACAGUACCGGGAGAAUAAGACCCCGGCUAACUCCGUGCCAGCAGCCGCGGUAAU